AUAAUAAGAGCAGCAUGUAUACUAAAAUUGGAAGGAUACAGAGAAGAUUAGCAUGGCCCCUGCACAAGAGUGACAAGCAAAUUUGUGAAGCGUUCCAUAUUUUU